GCACAUGCUGCUGCCAAAACCUCAGCAUCAGACAGACACUGUACUGGAAAUAGGACCCCAGCCUCUUUCAGUGCGCAAGCUCGAGCUACACAGGGGGCAGAAUUAAGAUUGUGGAGGCAACCGCGAAUUGGUAUGUCCUAAUUGAAUUUGGAGGAUACAGAUUUUUGGAGAUUUCUUUUGCGGUUCUGAGGAACUCUGACUGGACCUGCAACGUUCUGUCCUUAGGUGAAUAAAAAGAGAAAUAGUGGAUUCAGUGCCUCAGUUCCAUGUCACUUAUCAACUGUGAGACAAGGACCUCAAAACACUUUGUAAACACUGGGCCAGCUCUUCAGUAGAUGUAAAAACAUGACACUCCCCCACUUCUGAAAGAUGGCUGGUAAGUAGGGGAAAGGAAAGCAGCCUUUGUGUCCUAAUAUGAAG